rnacentral:rRNA from 1 species
GAUGAACGCUAGCGGCAGGCUUAACACAUGCAAGUCGAGGGGCAGCAUAAACAUUGCUUGCAAUGUUUGAUGGCGACCGGCGCACGGGUGCGUAACGCGUAUGUAACCUACCUCAAACAGGGGCAUAACACUGAGAAAUUGGUACUAAUUCCCCAUAACACCUGAGAGGGCAUCCUUUUGGGUUGAAAGUUCCGGCGGUUUGAGAUGGACAUGCGUUGUAUUAGCUAGUUGGUGAGGUAACGGCUCACCAAGGCGACGAUACAUAGCCGAGUUGAGAGACUGAUCGGCCACAUUGGGACUGAGACACGGCCCAA